GCCGGGUGCAGUGGCGCAUGCCUGUAGUCCCAGCUACUCAGGAGGCUGAGGCUGGAGGAUCUCUUGAGCCCAGGCAAGUUCUGGGGUGUAGUGCGCUAUGCCAAUCAGGUGUCCGCACUAAGUUCGGCAUCAAUAUGGUGACCUCCCGAGAGCGGGGGACCACCAGGUAGCCUAAGGAGGGGUGAACCACCCCAGGUCGGAAAUGGAGCAGGUCAAAACUCCCGUACUGAUCAGUAGUGGGAUUGCGCCUGUGAAUAGCCACUGCACUCCAACCUGGGCAACAUAGCAAGACCCCAUCCCUA
ensembl:misc_RNA Metazoa_SRP Metazoan signal recognition particle RNA